GCUCCUGUAGCAAAGUGGUUUAAUGCGUCGUGCUUAUAAGUAAAAUUAUACCUUAGACACGCGAAGGUCGCGGGUUCGAUCCCCGCCAGGAGCA
rnacentral:tRNA from 1 species